AGGAUUUAGUGCUAAGGUUUGGUGAUGCACUGAGUGAUCUCUGAAAUGCUUGGCAGUUAAUAGCUUGUGUGCACUAAUUCUCGACAUUUUCAAGCUCACAACAGCUGUACUUGUAGGAGUAGUGAUGACAAAACCACGGUUAUGCUGCAUAGUGUAUAAAUUCAAAAUGUAGCAAAUAAAAGGGAAUUGUAUACUUCUUGAAUGCACUUGAUUUGCUUGUAAUCGUCUCCUUCCUAUGAGGUAACGUGUUUCUUGCCCUAAAUCUCUAGGCUAGAGAUCAGAAAAGCAACCCAUUUUAUUUAGUUAACACCUGUGCUCAAAGCCAGGCUAAACCAAGCCUAAUGUAACCAUCCAGUUUUUCAGAAGCAAAGCCACAGGUGAUUUUACUUCCUCUUCCUUUCCUUCUUCAUUACAGUCUGGUUUCACAGGGCACAGAGCCUGGAUGAGCUGCACAGCAGAUGUUUUGAAGAAAGUCCUGGCCAGAAGCCACUUUGUGUCUGUUGCUGGUUGGUUUUGUUUUAAGAUAGAGAGGGAAAUGUACCUUAUUAUACGUAGGUGUUUCUUCCAAGACGUAUGAAAAGUAAGAACAAGUUAGGAAGUGCCGAAUUUCUUCAGCCAGGUGCUGAGAUCUCCCCAGCUGGGAGCACCGCCAAUGCCUUGCAUAGCUGCAGCUUUUGCAUGUGUCAAGAUCAUGAAGAUAAGAGGAAUCGAUCAGGGAGCCACUGCAGCAGUCAUCCACUGAGACAGGCUGCUCAGAAACUUCACCUGGGAAAGACAUUAUGGGUUUGGAAUUUUACAAAUGCAGCCAAGUGAGUGAAGCAAGGAGAUGUUUAUGUAGUUUGGGAUGAUCAGGAGGCCCAUGGAAAUGGUGGAGAACGUCUUCCUUAGGAACAACGUGGCUUGGCGUGUUCCAAGGCAGACGACCCUGGUUUACAUUUGCUCGUGUCAAAGGCGCUGCAUGCUACAGACAGAGCAGACCGAGACCAACAGAGUGCUUCACAAAUACUGAUGGAGAGUGAAAAUGCAAAAGGAUAACUGCAGCGUCUAAAGGGAAAUUGUCCAAGCACAGGAGAAGAGGCAUACUGGAAAGAGAAGAGCCUUCGUGAGUAGAAAUUAAAGAAUGAUUGUACUUUACUGAGGAAAGUGACUAAGACUUUAGGUAAUGAGUUUGCUGGUGAAUUACUAUAAAAUAUGUGAGAACUGCCACAAGGUCAUACUCGGCAGGGAGCUGAUUCCCUGAUAAACCCUUUCCUCUCCACUUCCAAGCAGUGUUUUCCCCUUCCAGAAGUGCAAGAGCUGAGCUGAGCAGUGGCAGCAGUGCAGGUACCUGGGGUGCAGUGGGGCAGUGCCAUGGCAAAGCCAGGCUCUGAGCAGGAAGCACAUUGCCACAGUUCUUGGACAAUACCAUCAAGGAGGGAAUAUAUUUAUAUUGGGAUCAUUUAACAUUGCAAUUAGGUAUCUAAUCAGAUGGGCACGUUUUUCACACACUUUCUAGCAUGGAAGGAAAGAUGGGGUACUAUGUCAAAAGGCUGUGGUUGCAUCACAGGGACCAAUAACGAAUUUAUGAACUUCUGCGCGUCAUAAUUAAUCUAUCUGCAUCAGAUGACUGAUUGCUCAUUUUGAUAUGUGUAUGUUCAGUAAAGGAUAUGCAGGAGUUUGAAAGACGAAAAGGUGGAUGGAAAUAUUAUUCUCCAAAUCCAAACAAGCAUUCAGGCUUUCUAGAAGAAAAUCCGAAGGGGAAAUGUCAGCUGAAAACAAGCCUAAUUGAAUUUUGGCAGUCUGUUAGAUCUUAAUUGCCUAUAUAAAAUGGGGGAUAGUGGCACUUCUGCAUUUCAACCGGGUUUCUAAAGAGAAUUGCAUUAAGGAGGAUGAGAUGCAGGGGCAGUUCAGCAAAGGAGGUGGUUUGUAUACACAAGGUGAGCAGACAGCUCAAUAGGGUGCAAUGGCAGAAAACACCUUGCUGAAGUGAGGCAUGGGAAAGGGACAGCUAUGGUACCAGUCCAACCAGUAGGACUUCUCUGUGUCCUUCCUUGAUAGAUUUACCAUGCCAUUCUGGUUUGUAGCGAGCCCUUCGGAUGGUGCAUCCUAUUGUGAUGAUUUAACACACACCUUACAAUACAGCAACUUAGGUGGACUGAAAGAUUUAUGUUGCUGAUUCUGCAACAAAUAUGUCAAGUUCCAAAUGGGCUCUCAAUGACUUCCUGUGUUAUGCUGAGAUAGUUGGUCGGAGGCAUCUUGGUGAAAGACAAGGCCAGCCUACAGUCAUAUCUGGGCAUGAGUCGGAUCUGCCGCCUUUCGUGCACUUUUAUUUAUUGCAGAGACAAUGUGUUUCACUCACAGCUUUCCUCCUCUGACAACUAUUUGUGCAAUUUAAAUAAGCUGCACUCCAGUGUUUGGACAUUGCCCUGCUUUCUACUUGUUUGUUUAGUGAAACUGCUGCAUAACUGCCCCAGCAGAGUCUGGAGUUAUAAACAAGCUUUGACUGCAGAAUGUGUGUUUAGUUCAGUUUUCACCUUGACACAGAGCCUUUGCUUUCUGAAGGAGUAGAGACACUCUCCAGAACACAUCAACACAGCGCUGUGCACACACCGAGAACAGCAAGCACGAACUCCCUUGCAGAAAAACAUGGCUAGAGUAAGGCAGCAAACACAAACAUGGCAUGCAGGAUUAGUUUUUAAUAGAGUGCAUGAUUAACUUUACUGCGUUAAUUCAUAUAAGUAUUAAACUUCUUCAUACUUUCGUGACAGAUAAAGCUGCUGUGAACAGACUGGCCUAAAAUCUCAUUUAUGUCAUUUAUGAAUAUAAAUCACAUUUAUUUUGUUAAAUCCAAAGUAACUCUCCUGACAAUAGCAUGUGGAGUGGAUCUUCAUCAAAGUCUCUAAUAAUUCAUUUCUCCUAAUGCGGUUUUUUGAUCUUUCCACGUGCAGGUGCAAGCCUGAAUGUUUGUAAUGUGUGAGUUUUUAUUUUAUUUUGGGGCAGGAGUGUUUGCUAGGGCUAUAAAUACUUACAUCCAUUCAGAUAUCCUAAGACAUAAAGCCUGUUCUAUUGAAUAUUUUAAUCUGAAUGCACGGCAUCUACCUUGAAAGUGUAAUAUAAAGCUGUUCAAGACAGCCCAGCAAAGGUAAGGCAAAAACAUAGUCAUGAGGUCCAUUCUGUGAUCUGCGUGACAACUGUGACUGAAUGACUAACAGCACUACCAGGAAACAGCCCCCAUCAAUUCUGCAGAGUUAGCAGUGCCUUUCAGAAAUAGGUUUUUCAGGAAUGUGUGCAGGCUUCUUGUGUAGUGACUUACUUGGGGAAGUUCUCAGUGGCACCGCCACCUCCUUGCAAAGAUGGGCAGAUCCUGAAAACGGUACGUUUGCACCACUGAAUUCAUUCAGAGACGUUUUUUCCUAAAGGGAUUCCCUGCAGGGGAGCUAUUAUACAUGUUCUAGCCUGAAACUUGAGCUGGCCAGAGAAUGGAAAUUGUGUUUCACAGACAACUUUGAGAUUUUGAAAUUUGUUUUCAUUCCAAUUCAGAACAAAACCUCAAAAUGUUGAAAUUCUCCACAAAGGAAAAUUCCACAAAAAUAAAUAGUCUUGGCUUAUUUGGAUUAUUACAACUUUUAAAAAUGCAUAUAUUAUGUAAAAUCAAAAAUCUACAUGCUUUAUUCCAAAAAAUUGUUGGCAUAUCUUCCUCCAAAUGCUCUGGGUAAGGGUAAUGAUUCCUCAAAGCGUUGUGAUUCUGACAGAAAUACAUUUUUGAAGGAAAGAUGCUCCAUUGAUUUCCCAUCUGAAGCCCAUUAGCCUUCCUAUUGCUGUGCUAUCCAGACAUCUCGCACUGCAACAGCUGUAAUGCAAAAGCUCUACAAAUACUCUAGCUCCAGGACCGUGAUCUACAGUAGGCCGCAUGUGGGCUUCUCGUUGUGUUUUUGUGCUGUGGUGAGGCCCAGAAAGUCCCCACUGGUGUGAGAGAAGAGAGAAGAACUCAGUUUCUGAGGAGAGCUCUGAAGCCAUGGGACAGUUGAUGUGAAGCUGCUCUUGCUGCCACCAAACCCCGGCACCAGAAGUCUUCUCCCUGGCAGCGGAGCAAACAAACAAGCUGCUCAGUGGCAUCAGCACUGGCUCCUUCCACUGAACAGAAAUGACCCACAUGAGGACCUGAGCCCCUUCUCAGUCACUAGUGGGGCGAAGUCCAUGGUGAAGACAAAUACCAGUGUUAAUAGCCUGUAUCCCAGAGCUCAAAGGAGACACUGGUGAUGUGCUUUCAAUGCCUGUGCUGAAUUUUGGAACAUUUUUGUUGUUCCAGGGUUAUCUGAAGAGAAUUCUGUUUCAGUUUUCAUCCACGCCCAGGCAGAAGCUAUGUCCUGCAUUUUCAUUCUACGCUGCUUUUCUUUGUGAUUUCUUUCUGGCUUUGGUGCAUUAAUUGGUAACUUCAGGCUUGGUCCAGCCUGCCUUAUGGAACCUGUGCCAAGUAAUUCUUUACAGUUAUUCCUUUAGAGCCUUAUGUCUGACAGGGUAAACUGUCAGUACACAUCCAGAAUCCUUGUAUAGGUCAGUAAUGCAGAUCAGUAGGCCUUUCCCACCAUGAAUAGCAGGAAGAUGUGUCUCCAGCUGAAGAUUUCCCAAGGAGGAGUUUCAGAUAAUAUGAUAAAUAAUGGCCUGAGCGUGAUAUGUCAGCACAGCAGCCAGGGACUGAGGAGCCAUGAGGACCAAACUGCAUUCAGUGCAGAGGCGAUGAAGGCAAAUGCCCACCCGUGCUGUCUGUGCUCCCAUCCCUCUUUAGGGGCACAGACUAAGGAAAUGGAGCUAAAAGGCUUUGUGAAUGCUGCUGCCUCUUUGCUUCUGAGAAUCAAAACAUAUUUGGUAUGUGUCACAAGCAAUGACAGUGGCAGGCGAUGAGGUUAUUGGAUGACAAACCUGGUCAUUCAGGUCUAGUGAGAUUCUUGCCCUGUGCGCUGCACUGAGGAGGGACAGUGUUUGGGUCCCUGUUGUAUGUACACAGAGCCAGAAUGUUGUCUACAAGUGGCACAUUUGGGCUCAGUAUAAUUCUAGAAUAUGUUUUUCUCUUUGGGAUAUUUCUGAACUGCAGUCAGCGUGCUCCCCACUAGAAAGUGACAUGUAGGAGCCACCCUCUGUUGUUGAAAAGUUGAUAGAAUGUCUGUACAAUAUUAUGGUCACCAAAAUAUGUCUAAACCUAAUUGGUUGCAUGUGGGAUUGAUUGCUUUAAUAUAAAGAACUGAAUGCACUGAAGACCUGCCAGAGGUUGCAGAAAAAAAGAAAGUCAGAUAUAAGGCCAAAUGUAGCUUUAGCAACUGCUGUUGUAUCACUUCAGUGGAAGGGCUCCCCCAGUGCAGAGCUGUAGCUGGGAUCUGUCAGUGGGAGCAUGGAGAUGGACCUUGGCAGGGCCUGCGCUCACAGCCAUGUCCAUCCUCCGAUGGCAACAUGGUGGUCUGGGCAGCUGCAUGGUUUCGUUUGCAGACAGAGCCAACAAUUCAGUGCAAGAGCUCAAACUGUUUCAGUUCUCUGGGAACUAAAAAUUUCUCUUGAGAAUUUUAUGCAUUCCGUGUCUUAAGCCAUUGUCAGAAACUCUACAAAAGCAUCCAGAAAGAGGCACCGACCUUCCUGGUAAUGCUGCAGCCCUUCAACUUGAACAAGUACUAACCACUGCAGUUUGUACCAUCCCUUUGUGCCCCUAUACCACAGCUCCACUUUAAGGCAGGAAUUCACCGUAUUACCAAAAGGAACCAUUGCAGAACUUGUUCCAAACCCAGCCCCCUGGUGCUGAGCCCCCACAGCCUUGCACAGGCUCUAGCUUACUCCUAGAGCCUGCUAAGCUGUAGUUGCAUGACACCGCCCCACUGUCCUGCUCCAUCAGGUGCAGCCCUGUCUAGGGUGCAAACUCAGAGGCUUUCUCUUAGAAUAUUUCAUUAAUGUGAGACAUAUUUCUAGGGCAAAUAAAUGCCAUGAACAUCUUUUUCUAUCAGCUAGUUGCGUCAUCUGUGUUGAUUAGUUGUCAUCUCAAAGCAUGAAAAACAGCUCUGAUGAUCAGUGUUUAAAAGCAGUGAGUGUUGGUGAGGCUGGAGCAAGGACAGCUUCAGUGCAGAACUGCCAUGGAGAGAGAGAAAAGCUUCACCCCAGGCUGAGGGCAGAGCCAGGAGAAGCUGCUCAGCUGCGUUACCUGGACAAGGGUUGAUACAACACCAAGAAGCACUUCUGAGGCUCAACCUAUGCCAUGCAAGAUGCAAGACGGAGCUCAUUAAACAACACAGUAUGUUGCCAUUGGGCAUACAGAAGGCAAAGGAUCAACUUCCACACUUGGACUUGGUCUCCAUUUAGAUUUUUGCAGAGAAAGCUAUGCUGGUCCGUAGCUAUCAAAGGUAAAGAAAGGCAGUGCAGCUCUAAGCAGUGUAGUUACGCUGGCAAGGAGCCAUGUGUAAACAGUCAAAUCUUCUUUCUGUUGUGCACCCACCGGCAGAGCAGUGACUGUUGUCUAGGAGCACCCUCCAGUUUGGUACCUUCAGACUCACCGAGGUGUCCCCAGCUGGGGCAAGCAGGGAAGAGGGACUGCACUGGGAAGCUGGAGCGACACAGGGCACUGUGAGGAGCCUGCCUAUGUUCCUGCUCCUGCCUUGCCAGCAGGCACCAUAAAGGCUGCCAGAAAGCAAAUGCAAGGAACAAAAGCAGAACUUUGCAAAACAUCAUGUUUGAUCUGCAGCUGAUUCCCAAUGGCUUUCAGUGGCACCUGUGUGAAGGGCUCUGGCCCUGGAUGAUGUAGGGCUCGUCUUCCCUCAUGGGAUCCAGAUGAAUGAGCUUCUCUUAUUACAUGUACAAGGAACUCUUGAGAUAUGCCUAAACACAAGCCCUGUAAUUAUGGUGCAUGUGUUAGCAAAUUAGACCAAACUGAGCCAAAGGCCUUACCAAGGUAUUGGGUGACGCUGUGCUACAUGCUUGCUGGCAGAAGCUGCCCCGUUGGAGAGGACAUGAGGGCAGCUGUCUGUCCAUGCAGCUUUCACCCCUGCCCAGAGCCCAAAGAGAUAAUGUGCUGAUGGACUGGGGACCCUUGGCCACGCCGCUAGCUGAAUUCAUGAACACAUUUAAAGCCUUUUAUUUCCUCAGACAUACAGUGUGUUCAGACACCUGUACAAAGGCUUUGUCCCUUGGCACUCACUAGCCUGCAGCAGCUCACUGAGGGCUGCUGGGCUCCUGGCAGACACAGGGCCUGGUGCUGAGCACUCCAAAAAUUCCUCUUCAGAUCCAGUUCUGUUUGUUUUGUUGUCUUUGCAGAGCGAGCCACCUAAAAGCCACCUUCUGAAGGGCUCUGUAUUAAAACCCACCAAACACUGCAUGGCUGAGCGGUGACUCAGAGUGGUGCUUUACUCCCAUGAGGACAGCACGGCUAGAGCGGAGCUCUGACCUAUGCCUGGCUUUGGCUGCGUGCUGGGCACACAUUGGUGCCUCCAAAGUACUGGGAGUCCGUGACAAACAGAAGCCGUGAAUUACAGUCAGACCUUUUUUUAAUUAGCAUUUCAUUAAUUAGUACUAAUUUAGCAAACGAGUGCCCUGAUAAGCUUGAUUAGAGCAGGAACACAGGGGAAGAUACGGGAUGUCAAGGGUCUGACCAGGGCGAAGCCUCAGCCCUGCAGGAACACACAGGGCUCCAGCAGGCACAGCUCCCCUUAACCACAUCACCUCCCUGCGCCCACCAGCUUUCACCCAGUCAGUGUCCCCACUUUCAUCACAGACCCUUAUUGCAACCGAGCUCUGCCUCGCUGACGCUGUAUGUGUCUGUGCUGCAAAGUCCAGUUGAACAACAACAUUUCCAGCUGCAGCAGCAGUGCUAAGGAAGCAGCAAUCAUGCAUCUAUUGUCCAAUUGCUGCUUUUUUUUUUCAGCGGGGAUGACUCCUUGACAUUAGGCCUAUGGAGUCUGCCCGUUAAUAGUAGUUUAAAGUGGUCAAGAGGUUACGGCAGUAAGGAAUGUUAGUAAAAAUGUCUCUGUGGAGUUUAAACAACCAGUAUUUUAGGCAGGGCUUGGUGGGUUACUGUCCCUGCACAAACAACUAGAAUGUGAGAGUCUGGGCUGGGAAAUACUUAAACUGUUUGGAAAAACUUGUUUUGUGCAGCUUGAGAGUGUCCCUGGAGGCUGUGGCCCGAUGCCAUGACUCCUGGUAAAGGCUGGGCUGCUGUAACAAUGAAGCUUUUAUGGGGAAGCUGGAGUACAAUCAGAAACUUUUCGGUCCCGGGGGAUUAUGGGGAGGGGAGUUCCUGGGUUCAAGAUGUCUGGCACAUUAUGCACAUUUCCACCAGGAUUUGGGGGUGUUCUAUGGCAUGCAAGGUAUGCAAAUUGCUAAAUGUGUUUUCAAUUUUGCUGUGUUGUGCUGUCUUUGUUGGGUGAUCAUUUUUUCACCAGUGUAGCCUGAAGACAGGAUGGGUUCGUAGCACGAGUGGAAAAGCAUUGCUGUCUCACAAGCAGUACUGACCUAUGAAGAGCUCAUUAUAUUUUCAUCCUCCAGCAGGCUCCUAGCUGGGCGGCUCCAGAUUAUUCACUGGAUAAUCUUCCUCCAGUAAGAAGUGUCUUGAACUGAAAGGCAUCUUUGAUCGACCACUCCUUACCGAAGUGAUCAAAACUUUGUGCGUAGAAACUGUUUUGUUCCUCAUUGCUAUUGCUUAACCUCGGUCAUUUGCAUGCUCUGUAUGGCAAAUGUCAGCAAGAGGUCUAUGGACUUGCCAGACUGAAGUAUCCACUCAGACAGCAUUACAGUGUCACUUCAGACCUUCUUCGAAGGCAUCACACCGCGGCUAAUUAAUUUGAGGGCUUUGUUACAGGAGGGAAGGCAUUUCCUUAUGGAGAGAGGCUUCCUUUACCAGUGGUGUUUGCUGGAAGGAGCAGGGCAGGAUGGGCCCAGCAGCAAAGGAGGAGAUAAGGGGCUGUUCCUGAGGGCGGAAGUUAGCACUGCCACCGUGCAUCCAUGCGGGUAUCUGGUCUGAGAGGUCUAACCCUGAUCCCAUGCCCAUGGAAAUCAAUGACAGGAUUUCUGCAGACUGUUGAAGGGGCCAUCGAGAGGCUGAGGAGCAGCUAACAGCCCAGCCUGGCACAAACAGUUUGUACUGCAGUACCCACAUGUGCCACACACUGGGCUGGACAGAUCCUGAGCUCUGUGUGGGUGAGGGAAAUGGGCCUCAGACAAUCAGGGCCUGGGGGUCGAGAGCCUGGUGGUCAAUCUAUUUUUCUUAGAUGACAAAGAUGUAGUUACCAAACUGAGACUGCCCGGAGGUGCUCAGGCUUGGUGGGUUUUAUUGCUGGAGCCUCAAGGAAGCAGCCCAGUGAUGAGGGGUCUCCCUGCUUUGUCCCCCAUUUUGUGCAUCUUCUCCCUUUGCUUGCUGAGGUUUCACCUCAGGCCUGCCUCCACUUUGAGAACACUGAAUAGCUCUUAAUGACAGCAGCACAAACAAAACCAUAUAAAGACAGGAUUUGUGAUUUACGUGGGGUUAAUUACCACAACAAGUAUGUUUAUUCACUUCUCUAAUAAAUCCUGAAGACAGGAACAAGUACUAGCUUGACCAGAUUCAUCCUGUGCAUACGUUUUUACAAAUCUAUAUGUGCAGGAUAGAUAAAAAAGAGACGAAGUAUCUCCCAUCAUGUAGGCACUAACCCAUAGCCCAUGUGUGCUCUUCAGCCUGCCGAUGGCGUCAUCAUUUACUUCAGAUCUUCUUGAGGAAAAUAGGCUCUUUUGUGACUUUUGCAAGUCCUUUUUUUUUUUCUUUUUCUUUUUUUAAGGAAAUAAAUGGAUCGUAAAUGAGCAUUAACUACAUCAGUGUGAUCUAUUGCUCUGACACCUAUUUGCCACAGGAGGAAGGUGAGGUCUCCAUUUGUCUCUGCUAAAGGAAUGAGGUAUUUCUAACACGAGGUUAGAAGGCUGCAGUGACAGGAGCUGGGCAUGCCCAGGCCCUGCGGUGUGAAGCUGUGCUUCAGUGAGGGCACUCCAUAGCCCAUCACUCGCUCACUAACAGAAUGACUUGGUUCCAUCAGUCUGAUUUACAGGAGAGGGAACUGAUGUAGAGAAGUGAGCAGUGCCAUUGGGAGCGUGUGUUUUUAAGUGACAGAUCUCCGAGUGACUUCAUGUAGACCAGUGUUACUCAACAACGUCCUGUUUGACUGUGUUCUGAUAUAUGUCGGUUGCAAGAAGGUUUUCUUGACCUGCUGAUUCUGCUUCAGCCAUCUUCCAUGUUUCCAGUGUCCGUGUCCGUGUCUGGCUGACUGCAGUCCCUGAUUUGCUAGAGAAGUCGUUGCCAUGGCUCAGCACCGUGCCAGACGGGGCCCCCGCCGCCCUGAGGAAUUUGUGUCAGAUAGAACAUUUCGUACGAUGCAGAAGGUUCUGUCACCUUGAUUCGAAGGAAGUUGUUUGUGUUAAUGCUUAAAGGUAACGUGAGACGAGGCGAGCUCUUUACUUUGGAACACGCGCUGUGCCAUUGAUGUGCGCAGUACAGUAAAUAUAACAAAGAGCGCACUGUGGUAUUUACACCCACCGCAAACACAUUUGCAAAAUAGGAUUAUUUGCAAUCCAAUAAAAUGGUACUGCUUUUAAGGCAGAAACCCUGUGUGUUCAGUGAAGUGUGCUCCUCAGCUUUUCUUACCGUUUAUCGACCCAACACAUUCCUCCCCAUUUUUUUAAUGCCUUCCAUUAAUAGUUAAGAAAAACCUAGGGAAAACAAACACUCUUUUCCUGAUUGUUUAUUCACCAGUCUCUUAGGAACCAUAAUUACGUCUCCCAGGAAUUGUGUGUUUUAUCAUACUGUAUAUCUUAAAGAGCCACUUUAGGUAAAAUAACAAGGAGUGCCUUAUGAAGGAAAAUUGGAUUCAUUUUAAGACUUUUUUAACCCUCCAAAGAAUGGCUCUUUGUUUACUUCUUUAGUGCAUGUGGCAACUUGCCCAAGUAAAUACUAUGCUGCAUAAAUACCAGAGAUUGGUAUUUAUGAUAUUACAUAAACAUACUCUGAAUAAUGACUCAUUGUUGCGAUGAAGACGAAUGCAAGCAAUAUACAUCGCAGUCAGUGCGUUAUUUCUUGUCACUUUAUUAAGUGGCAUUGAGCGUUGCAGGACAAAAUGACAGCAACUGGAGAGGAGAAGUCUGAUUGCGUUAUUUAGCAGAUCUGAGUUUACAAAACAGAAGAGAAAACAGCCAAAACAGGAAGGUUAUGAGGAUAACAUAGCAGAUUAAUUAUCAAUAUGCAGGGUAAGUAGUUAGGUGUAUGGUGGGGCUGACUGGAAAAGGGUUUAUUGCUCUUUGAAUUGAAAACUCAUGCAGUGCAUUUAUUCCACUGUCCCAGCAGGGAGCUGAGCCUUCGGGUUCAUCAUCCUACCUGUGGUGAUGCUCACGUCCACUUGCAGCAACAGUAUUUCCCUCACAGAGCUGCACUUUUGGUGGCUUUGUUUCUCAGGGCCUCAGUCUGUCCAGAUGGAGUUUUGUUACACCUUUACCUGCACUCUGAAAAAAUUGUGUGAGGGUUUGUGUGAAGGGAAAAUGUGGCACACUUUGCAGUGCUGCCAAAUGAUGGAGCUCAGAUCUGAGAAAUCAAAAUCCCAAAGGGAAGGUGCCUAUGCCAAAACCUCUAUUUAAAGCCAGCAGGGUAUGACCAAGUUAGUUAUCUGUAAAGCCCAUGCUUAUAGCCUGUCUUGUCCUAACAGCAAAAACAACGGACACUCAAAUUCUCAAAGGGCCACUGAACCAUCCCUUUAAAAAUGACGAUGAAAAUUAUCACCCAUAAUAAUGGACUAGCCUGAAAAAAUGUGAUUUUUUUGGAAAUUCUACUCUUCCCCUGAAGCAGCUCCUCAGGAACAGCAGAGAAAGCCUGCAGAGUGGGAGGGUGACCCUCAUAAUACGUGGAGGAGUGGGAUGCUCAGCUGUGGGAGGACUCUGCUCCAGGACUGCAGGCCUGCACGCUGUGAUUGAGGUGAGGCUUCUGGUGUUUGAUGGGGUUUAUCGCCAGCAGAAGAAAUUUUCUUCCUAGGUGUGAAUAAAAGAGUACCCGUAUUUUCCUACCUAAGUGAACAUCCCUCAUGCUUCUGUGCUUGAGAAGAUAGCAGUGGAUGGGGCCAGCAACCUCUGCAAAGUGCUCAGGUUUAUGGAAACCACUGCAUUACUGCAUGGUCAGUAGCUGUUAAUUCUGGUUAUUAAACUGUGCUUUUUUCCUCUGAUUUGAACAAUUUCCUUCCUGGUUUUACUUCUUUAGUCAAAACCCACUCUGUGUAAGGAGAGCUGUGUUUUGAUGUACUCUGAGUGCCAUGUGCUGUUCCAUCCCGUGUGCAAGGUCGUACUGAACAAAUGUUGACUUUUUCUCCCUUGUGCUUCACAUACUUUGUACAGGUUAGAAGGGAACACAGGGGACAGGAGAACAGAAGGCUGUUCGUCUGCAAAGACCAAUGAUGUCUCCUGGUCCAGGACACAGAUGCAUGGCAUUAGUUUGGUGAGGCUCUACUAGCAAGCUCAGGAAUGACAGUGAUGCUCUCUGUGCCAUCCUGGAUGACACAAAAUUUGUGCCUAAAUCCCUGGAUGGAUGCAGACUUAAUUUCACUGGCAAACGCUUUGAAAAGUGCAGCCCUCUGUAACACCUCCCGAAGAAGAAAAGACAGAGACAGACUGCAUGUCAUUCCUUCACUCCUGUAUGCCCAUAUCAGCACUCACUGCGCCUACAGAGAAGCACAAGAAUCACACGGUUCCAGGCAAAAUGCAUGUAUGUGAGCACUUCUUCUGUGCAGAACAAAGUACGUCUGCCCUGCAGCUAUCCUGAGGAGUAAGAAUGGCUCACAGUCAGUGACCCAGCAGCGAUGCACACUGCGCCGGCACCAGAGAAUCACCAGAGGAGCUGUGAACUAACCCAGACAGAAAGCAGUGGUGCAAAGGACGUGUUUGCGUAGCCAGAAGAUAAAGCUUCGUGGCAUGACGUGAUGUCCUCCAGAUGUACUGGGAAGCCCUGCACACACCUCCAGAGAGCAGCUGAAGAGCAGCAGCAGAUGGCCACGGCAGCAUGCAACGCACCAGCCCCGCUGCCCUAUGUAUCAUGGGGGCUCAGUGUUCAAGGGAUGCACAGUGCAGCUCAGAAGCCUGGGCUGAUGGGGCUGGAUGCUGCAGCGCAGACAUGGCACCGUGAAACCUCUGUGCCCCAGGGCCUGCAGUUUGCUGCCGGUGUUAGGGCCGUGGUGAGGAUGGCAGCUCACCCAGCCUCUGGAGCCAGGCUGGCUGCCUGACAGCCCGGCCACAAGUGCUGUGCCAUAUUGGAGCUCAGCAGCUGCCCCAAGCUGGCGGGCUGUGCGCCAGCCAGACGAGCUGCCCAGAGGUAGCGGUGAGUAAGGCAUCACUUCUGAACGUGACUUGGCAGUGUCAGGAUUAAAACCAAAGAGCCAACAAAAGCAAAAAUAAAAAUAAUUUAAAAAAAUAAAAACAAAACCUAACAAUGAUAACAGUGAUUUCUCCAGAAAAGAAUCAGGUUGAGAAAUGGUCUUACCUUAAGAAAAGGCUCACUGUGGCCUUCCAGAAGGGAGCUCACAAGCAGGAGGGGCACAGGGCAAAGGGGAAUGGUUUAUACUAAAAGAGAGGAGAUUUAGGUUAGGUGUUAGGAAGAAAAUCUUUACUCAGAUGGUGGUGAGGCACUGGCACAGACUGCCUGGAGAAGCUGUGUAUAUCCCAUCACUGGAAGCAUUCAGUGCCAGGUUGGAUGGGGCCCUGGGCAGCCAAAUCUGGUGGGUGGCAGCUUUACCCAUGCCCAGUGGGUUGGAACUAGAUGAUCUUUAAGGUCUCCCCCAACCUAAGCCAUCCUAUGAUUCUAUGACUGUUCAGCUACAAUGAAAGGCUAUAGUCUUCAGCUGGUGGCUGGACACUGGAUUGCACUCAUAAAAUAGAACUGCCUGCAAGGGCUGAAUGCCAUAAUUAACAGGCAUUUUUUAGAAAUUAUUGGUUAAUGUAAUAGAAAUACUGCCAACUGUUGUUGUUAAAACCUAAGUUUGUUCCUUUGGUGGUAAUGCAUAAUGACUCAACACUGCUUCAAUGGGAAGAUACCUUUGUCUGUUACAUAUUGCUACCUUCAUUUGUACAAUGGUUUAUAUGGCAAAUAAUACAAAUUCUGAAACUUAAAGACAGCUUCAGGAAGUAAUCAGAGUGCCACCCGUGUCCUGGGCGAUCACAGUACUGGCAGUACAACAAGGCCUUUUUAUCAUAUCAUGGCAUUAAUGAUCCAAUCCCACUCCCACGGCAGGCAAUGUGGCCUUUAUCACCAAUGCUGUUUAAGCAGGACUAAGCUUAAAGGGUUCUAGAACAGGGAAAGAUGCUAAUCUAAGUUUCACAUCCAUCUGGUACAUUUCUCAUGCAGGUUAUACAUGACCACCUAGAGAACUACUGCACAUUUUUAGUAACAAACUCUAUGAGCCCUACCAGGGAAUACAGGUUGUCCUCAGAUAAUGGGAUCUACUCAUAUGAUGCAGAUGUCUUAUCACCUAAGAACAUUUUCACAAUAUUACAAUAGCGACCGAAAGGUUAUUUCUCAAACCCUGUCUGUCACCCAGUAGGUACCAGCUGAAAAGUUUCUGUUUGAUUGCUAAAGAGUAGAAAGCAAUGAACACACAUUGGCAAAUCUUAGAUCAGGCAUGAUGUGGAUGUUGCACACCUCAGACUAACGCCCACCUUCACUUCAGGGAAAGGAGAAACCAGACCUGCAGACACACUAAUCGCUCCUGCUCUCAGAGUUCCCACUCACCUGGUUGGAAAUGAACUGCAGAACCUUGCUGCUUUCUAUUUACUGCACUGAGAGCCAGUGAUUUCUGAGUACUUCCAGUCAUCAACUGCAUGGCUAUUGCAGCAUUUUAUGAUGUAAAAUCCUCCUAAUGUACGAAUUAAAAAAAUAUAUAUGCAGUCUGUGCUGAGAUUGACAAUUCUGAUACAAGAGGGGGAGGUGAAGUCCAAUCUCUGCUCAGCUGGGAGGAACGCAAAGGUGAUGACACACCACUUAGUUUUGGGACAGCUUGGAGGUGUGGGUGUACGACCCACCAAAGCGGGGUCACUUCACCCAAAGGAGGGCAAGCAGCAGAACUGGGCUGUCAUGCACAAGACUCAAACCAUCAGACUGUGCCAGAGUCAAAAUGAGAGCUCCCAGAGCCUGGUUUCCAGCUGCACCCACUGCUGAGCAGAGACUGUGCAUCCCCAUCAAGUGCAGGAGGUCAUGUCCUUCAGCUGCUUCUAAGGGAAGGCGCUUCAGAGCACACAGGCACACUCAGCAACGCUGGUGGUGGACACAUGCAGACGUGGCCGAGGAAAGCUAAACAGGAUGCAUCAGCACCAAAGGGAUCUGGGCAGCCCAUCCCACUGGCUUUCAGUAGCACUGAAUAUGACGGGCUCUUGGACAAACCUGUGGAUCCCAGCCUGCCAUGUGACACUGCUAAGUGACUCUUGUCAGUAGAGCGUAGCAACUUGACUUAUUCCCUUCUGCAGAGCACACACUGGCCUGUGUACUGUCCAGGGGAGAAGCAGAGCCUCGCAAUUGGAAGGCGGGCACCAAAAGACACACGUGGGGCUGGAAGCUGGACAGUCCCAGCACCCAGGUCAGAAAUAAAACUGCUUUUACAGCAAGGAUUUCAGUAUAUGGUCUGGCUGUUGCUGACCUUGUCUGAGAACCUCUGUCAGCAGUGUGCCCAAUAGCUGACACGCUGCAGGCCUCUAUCAGAUGACAUUGCUAUUACAGUGCCUGCAGAGGUGGGGAAGUUCAUAUGUUAACAAACAAUACUGAGUGAAUUGAUUCCUCCUGCCUGCAUUGCCGUUGCUGUUCCACUCCCUCCACAAAACUAGGCUUUAGGAUACAGUUUAUUCCCUUUUCCAUGUAUCACUGUAACUGCAGUACUGUUGUAGACCAGCUAGAAGAAGUGGAGUUGUGAAUUCACCUUCUCUUUGGAAAUGUUACUCCAUCCACCCACACCUCUUUCUUCUUUGCUAACUCCAGUCAUCCAUCCCCAGGACCUACACCCACACUGAUCCCAACUCACUGAUGAACAUACAUGGAAAAAGGCCUUGCUAAAUAGAUUGCAGCUCCUGUCCCAUAGCUGUGUUUAUAGGAUCAUUGGAUACUAAAUCUAAUACAUAAAUGAGAACCCACUGGUUGAGUAAGGUCUCUGGAUUUAGUGCUCGCUCCAUGAAACAGGUUACUCAGCACAGCAGCUCCGGGUGCCCCAGGACACAGGGCUCAGCCAAGUGGAGGCCUGACCCCAAAGAGACUAACUCUGAUGCUGUUUGGGAACUUCUCCCCAUAGUGACAGGACACUCAGAACCUGAGUGAGGAGACACCUGAACCAUUCAGGAGGACUCCAGCUUCCACCCAACAGAGGUCCCAUCAGCCAAGCUGCCAAAGGUGCCCUGGAGUCCCAUCCCUCUCUCCCAGGGAAAGCCCUGCAACGCUGGGGCCCUAUGAGCUUGGGCUCAUUUCAUUUAAGUCUUCCCACUUUAUAGCAACAAUGUCCUGAAAAGAUUGGAGGAUGCAGAACAAACAGAAACUCAGCAUGGCACAGCGAUGCAAAAAAAGGUUCCAAAAGGUCAAGACAGGGAGAAGUGGAUGAACUCUGGUAUUUUAACAGCUCGGCAUUGAUGCCAUAAAUUAAAAGGAAGUGUGCUGGAUGUUUUAUUUUCUGUGUGUGGUAAACUGUACAGUUAGAGUCUGAAUAAACCUCUUUUGUCAAUUUUACUACCUUUCUGAUAUAAAAAUAAAUAAACUUAAACAAAGAAGAAGUGGAGACCUGCCAAGCCAGCCUACUUUGGUAAGAACUGCACUGACAAGGGAGCAAUUGUGUCUUAAAGCUGAGGGGCUGAAACGAUCAGCUUUUGGGGGCUGGCAAAGCCCUUCUGGAAGGGAGCUGCUCUGUAUGCAGGAGGAGCUACAGGAGAAGGAAAAAAAAAAAGGACACUCAUCUAAAAGGCAACAAAAGAACAUCAUUAAAAUUUCUGCUACCAGAACUGCUUCCCUGUUUGAUGGGAAGGCUGCAGGUAAAUAGCUGCUGCAAAAUAUACCAGGGUAACAGCACCUAGGAGCAUUUUAAUGGUGAUAUAAAAUUCACAAGUAAAUGAUAUAAUGUACUAAGUAACUUAUUAGGCUGAAUAUAAAACAAAGGUAUCAAGAAUGAUGGUUUUACUCUGCAGUGAAUCUCAGCAAUGAGUUCUAGGCUUACCAGUCCAAUGCCAAGCAUGAGAACUUCCAGUAGGCAGCAACACGUAAUUACCGCUGGGUGGAGGUGAAUCAACCACUUUCCGUCAUGAAGCCAAUGAGGGACCCUCAGACAAUCUGCCAAAGGUGGGUGGGUGAAUGAGUGUUACUUUCCUGCUAGGCUCCCAUCAGGGCACCACACCUUGUGAUAUUAUCUCUGUAAUAACCAAACAACUUUAAAUGAUAUUGUGUCACUGCAAAUGAAGCAGGAGGGUGACCCAGCAAGUCAGAUUUCAUUAGUGCAUGAGGGACUGCACUCCAGCAUGCAGCUACACACACACACACACACCUUCAGACCCUGGAAACCUCAGCCUGCAAUGCAGAGCAAUCUAAACUUUAGCCAUACAUGCCUGAGAUUGUGUCUCCUCCAUGAGAGAUGCACAUGGACUUGCACAUGCAUAGCAGGCUUAUCACUACACCCAUGUCCUAUUUGCUUUUCUGUGUGUCACUGUUGAAAGUUUUCUAAUGCGCUAGGUAAGAAGAUUGCAAAUGAAGCAGAACUUCAACUGCUCAAUCGCAUUAAUACGGGUACAGUAAAAGAUGACAGGAUUACAUACAGUUCGUCUAAUUAGCAAGCCAUGUGCAGCAUUGCCUGCCCAAGUGUUCAUGCACUCAGGCUCGUUGCCUCCCACCACUGCACCUUUCCUGCCGCUUUCCUCAACUGCAAUUGCCUGCUCUAGUUCCAGUCACAGGGGACGUAUCUGGUCUGCCAUAACUUUCCAGCUGUGAACACACCAGUGACUCCUGCCAGCCCUCCACUGUUCUGACUAGCAUCUCCAAGAGCUUUCCAGGCAGAAGGAGUGAUUCAGAAGACUUUGGAGAUGUCGCACUGGCUGGGAGCAAGUGCUGUUGUCUGCCACAAGGAGAGAGCUUCAAGCCAUCCAAGGGCAUGCCAUAUUGGUUCACAAGGGCCUGAACUACAAUAGUUAGAUAAGUUUGAUGACAGAAAGUAAGAAAGAAAACGACUGGAAAGUCACCAGGUCAG
ensembl:lncRNA